AUUGACAGUUGGCCAUUUUGUUAAAAUUGUCAUUCACAGUCAUUCACUGUUUAGUGGGUACGCUGUGCAUUAGUGCUUUCUGUUUCCGAUUUCUACGCUUUUGCAUUCUCAUUUUGGACUUUUGUUUUGCUUUACGAUUUGGCUGGACAUAUUUUUCUUGGAAGGACGACCUUUGCACGGCAUCACGGACUUUGAUAUAGCGCAUACGAUUGGUAUUAUUUCUCAAGGAGUAAUCAGGAUCAGGAGGUUAUAAUGAGCGAGCCGCAGCCAGGUUCGUCGGGGACUGCUCCGCCGCCGCCGGUCAAAAAACCAAAAUUGGCUGUUAAAAAACAGUUAUCGCAAAGGGAGAAAAAAAUUUUGGUGAAUAUUUAUAAUCACUUGGAGAAAACCUCUCCUACAUACCCAUCAAAAAUGGAAUUAUAUAAAACCACCUCAAAAAUAAUGGACGUCUCAGAAUAUAUUGUUCGUGACGUAAUGAAACAUUACACACAAAAUCAAGAAGUACCCCAGCCUAAGGAGAGACCUGCAAAUCGAGCCAUAAUUGAUAAGUUAGAUGAUUUUAUCUUAUCUGCAAUAAGAAGAAAGGUUCAUAAAUUUUACUUUGAUGGGGAAUUGCCAACCAUUGCCAAAAUUUUUAAAGCAGUCAAUGAAGAUGACAGCCUACCAAAUUUUACAUUCGGUACAAUGUAUAGAAUAUUGAAGAAAUUAAACUUCACAUACCUACUGCAAGCGAUCAAGAACUGCACCGAAGCGGAGCAGAGCGUUUCCCACAUAGCGGCCACAAUACAAGGCACCAGUUUGCGCUAUGUAGGGAGAUGCUAAAUCAAAUUUAAAGCCAAACGAAUAUUAUUACUUGGCAUAACGUAUGCCAUAGCAUUAUUAGGGUAUUCAAGAUUUGGCCAUACC